UUUUUGAUGUUGCUGCAGGCAGAAACAUCACUGCUGAAGUUCCAAGCAGGUUCUGAUUUGCAUCUGGCUCCACAGACUACCACGAUCGCACCUGGCAGGAAUGUGUCGAUUACAGAGAAGAAAAAUGAAACCGGGCAAUGGAAUAUGGUUAUACACCUCAUAAUGAAGUGCUGGCCAGUGACUGAGCACACACACAACAGAUGGCGGUCCUGUGAGGUCACACCGCGUGGCGACAUUGAUGCUGUCUUAGUUCCUAACGGGGGUAAAAAGCCACUGUCUGCAGUGCCAGCAUCCUAUAUGGGCACCAGUUCAAAUUCUGCUCUACUUCCAAUCCAGCUCUCUGCCGUGGCCUGGGAUAGCAGUAGAAGAUGGCCCAAGUCCUUGGGCCCCUGCACCUGCAUGGAGACCCGGAAGAAGCUCCUGGCUCCUGGCUUCAGAUCGGCCCAGCUUUGGCCAUUGUGGCCAGCUGGGGAGUGA
rnacentral:lncRNA from 1 species